rnacentral:misc_RNA from 1 species
GACAACAAAACGUUCUAGCUUUUUUUUCUAUGUUAUGGGUGCGUGCAUUUGUGUUGUCCGGUGUUUGAAGACGCUUGGAAUUCGCUUUCAAUUUCUUCGUAGGAAAAAUGUCGGGUGAUACCGAUAAAGCGAAAAUCAGUGACAAUCAGGAUGAAGAUAAGAAGUCUGGGACAGGCGAUGGCCAAACAACAGAAGACGAGUCGUCCCAAGACUCGAAGGGUGAGUCGCAGGCGACUGCGGACCCUGCCCCAGUCCAAGGUAACGCCGAUGUAGAUCAACCAGACACCAAAGAGGAAGAUAAGCCACCUAUAACCCAGCCUACAGAAGGUGAUUCAAAAUCAACGACGGCUAACGGCAAGGAUGAUGACGGCGCAGGAGACGACUCCAAAGAUGACAAGAGAGAUGUGAAGGCCGAUGCAGAUUCUAAAAAGGAAGAAAAUGGCGAGGCGCAUGACGAAGAUGAAAAGGAUGACGUAAAGGCUAACGACAAAGGUGCUAAGAAACCCGCCCCUAAGAAGAAACCCAAGAAAGAGGACACUGAGGAAGAAGAUGAAGAAGAGGAGGAGGAAGAGGAAGAGGAGGAGGAGGAGGGUGACGAGGGGGACGAGGAGGAACCCAAGAAACCUAAAGAAAAAGUAAAGAAGCCCGCAAAGAAAGCUAAAGAUGACGACGAAGGAGAUGACGAGGAGGAGGGCGAGGAAGAAGAAGAGGAGGAGGAGGAGGAAGAAGAGGAAGAAGCGCCUAAACCUAAGCCCAAGAAAGAGCCAACAGAACCGCCAGUCCCUCUGCCGGCCGGCAAGGGCAUCCCCCUGGGCCACAUCAGCAAAGUGGAGGUCUCUCUAUCCAGGUUUAAGACUCAAGACCAGAAACUGCUGCAUCAGUAUCUGUAUGGGCAACUUUGCCUGGACCGCAACGUGAAACGCAACAUCAAGAAGUUCAAGGGCUACGAGUGGGCCAUAGGGUCUUCAGAAUACAAGGCCAAGCUUGAGGAGACCACCAAGAUAGAGCCCAAGCAGUUGCGGACCAUGUGUGAGAUGUUAGACCUCGAUAAGAAAGGGUCGGCGUCAGAGCUGGCGGCUCGGCUGGUGGGGUUCCUGCAGCAGCCGGGGCCCAACUCGCCGCACGCGCGGGGCGUCGCCCGCGCCGCGCCCGCCGCGCCGCCCGCCACGCCUGGUGGUCGUCCCCGCCGGUCUGCCGCCGUCAAGGUGCACAACAGAGGCUACUCUGAUGAAGAAUACGAGACAGAUCCAGAGACUAAAGUAAAGGGACCCAAGCCUGCCAAAGAUGGCUCAGAAGAUUCAGAUGGCUCGUUCAACCCGAGCGGGUCGGAGGAGGCGGACUCGGACUUCGACCCCGAGGCGGGCGAGCCGGCGGCCGGGCCGGGCCGCAAGCGCAAGUCCGCCGGCCGCCGCCGCUCUUCUGCCAAGCCUGCUAAGAGGGGACGCAAGCCUAAGGGGAAGAAAGGACGGCCAAGUAAACCAGGUCGCGGCCGACGAGCAAAGUCCGACAGUGAAGAGGAGAGUGAAAAGUCGGAGAGUGAGAGCGAUAACGAAUCUGGAAGCGAGGGAGAGGAGUCUGAUGAGCCGAAGUCGAAGCGCGGUCGCGCGGCGGCGCCGGCGGCGAAGGGCCGCAAGGGCGCGGUGGCCAAGAGCCAGCCCGCCAAGGCCACGCCCGUCAAGCGGAAAGCGCCCACGCCGCCCGCUAAGAAAAAGGCUCCAGCAGGCAAGGCUGCGGGGCGGCCGGCCAAGAAGGGCAAGAAGGCGUCGUCUGAGGAGGAGUCCGGCGAGGGCAGCGAGGAGGAGGAGGAGGACGCCAGCGACGAGGAGGAGGAGAGCGGAGACGAGUCCGACACCCCCGCAGACAAGAAGGCCAAGCGGCCGCCUACUGACGAGGAGAUCAAGAAGUACGUGAAGCAGAUCCUGGAGGGCGCGAACCUGGAGCAGAUCACGAUGAAGACGGUGUGCAAGCAGGUGUACAGCCACUACCCGGACUUCGACCUCGCGCACAAGAAGGACUUCAUCAAGGCCACAGUCAAGUCGUGUAUUUAAGAUGAUAGGAGUUAAGAGCGGAGUGUAGAUGUCUACAUAGUAUACCUAUAGAUUAUAAAAGGAAAUAGCUAUAUAUUAUUACAAUAAUAAUAUAUUAUGAAUAAUGAAUAAUAAAAAAUAAUAUGAAUGAAGUGGAACGGAUAAACACCCGCUUUACUUUACAAGCUCAUAUCAUCGUGAGCAGGUGACUAUUCGGCCGCAAACACAUACAUAGUCGAGUAAGCACCACUUAAAAUACUUAGACUAAUGCCCGCAAGCCGGCCGCAACCGCACCGCAACAUACUACUCCUAGAUACAACAUUCAGCCGGCGCCGCGGGCCUAUGUAAUUUUAUGUUGUAGGAAUAAUUCCCAUUAGAGUAAGGAUAACCCAAGUAAAACAGCUCUAGGAUAUAUAAGAACGUUUUAUUUUAACUGUGCCUGUAUUAGUAGUUACGAUCACGUUCGUUGAUUAUGUUGAAGAAUGCGGCUCGUUAGCUAGUUUCUGAUGUAUUUCCAUUAUUCCUAGAGUUAUAAGUUAUAGUUCGAUAAUAAAAUGAAUAUUUUUUUUCUCAUAAUCAGUUACAUAAUAAGAUGACGAUUUUGUAUUUACAACAUGAAGCUGCCGCACGAUCGUUAGCGUAAAUUCAUAAGUUUUAUAUUUAAUAUGUUGUUUUUGUUUUCAUAACUUGAUUAUUAUUUGCUUUAGAGCUGACAAUCGGACAACAGCUUUGUGUCGAGUUCGCGUGUAAACGAACCGCAACAUAUAAAGCACAUGCUUGUAAUGAUCUAUGUUUAAAGUACAUUUAUGUAAGCGUAUUCCUAACUGUCGAGCCGCGUUCACUUGCGCUCACAAGUCAUUAAUCCCUUAAAUAUACAAUUAUAUGUACAAAGUUCAGGAAUUUUGAUUAGCACAAUGUGCUCAUUUAUUUAUAAAUUUAUUUUGACAAAAUCCAAAAUUAAUUCAAUAUAGUGAUAUCACUUGUAAUAAUCCGCAUAUUAUAUUAAGGAUUUAAAUACUAGUGUUAUGAAAUCCAAAAUUAAUUAUUUUUUUAUUGGGAUCGAGAAGACAUUGCCUUUGCAUUUUUUUUUAUUAUAAUUAACUGGUACCUACUCUAUCACAAAUAUAUUAGGUAUGCAAAAAUUAUAGGUAUGUGUAAAAUACCAUAUUAUUUUUCCUAUUUUGUUUAAAUCGUUAAUUUUGUUGUAACAAGGUGUUUCGGGAAAGUAAGUUUAUAUUUUUUUAACGCGGACGUAGGCGGUAAAAGUUUUCUCGCAGUUCGGCACUAUCGCAAAACUAUUCGAUUAAGGGUCGGUUAAGUGUACUUUAAGAAGUGUAAAUAUUACACAGUACUUGCAAUUUAUGGGGAUGAUGCGUGUGAAGUGUUUGGCACAUUAAUGUAAUACGUGGAGUUGUAAUCGUCGCAUUGUAUCUAUGAUCUUCAUGUACUAUUAACGAGACGAUGGAUGCUAAACGUUCAUGUAAAUGCGUGGUUUCACUGUGUGCGUGUACCGCGUUGUAAAUUAGUUUGUUCCGGUAUGUUAGCGUAAUGUUCAGUACAUAAUGUGUUCAUGUGCGCGACUGACACCGUCUCGUGUCCCACACGCCACUCCCGCAAGUGUGUCCCCCUAGUGCAAUAAUCGUAUCUAUAACGAAUACAUACAUAAUUGACCGUCAUCCAUCAUAUCACUGUGUGUCAAUCCGAGCUUAGCUUACCUAAGACAGGCAAUUCUCUCGUUACAUGAAAUAGUGCAUAAGUUUAUUUUGUGAAAGAAUCAAUAGCUUCUUAUAAUUUAGGUGCUGCUAUAGCAUUUGAUAUUGUUUCGAUGUAACUUGUGGCCGAUGUCGCCAAGUCCCGUGGGUGAAGCUAACGUAGGUGCGGGCUCGGCCGCGCGGCGACGCGGUGCAAUGCCUUCACUUGUAGAGGUGAACUGUUUUUGUCUAUAUUCGAUAAUCUCUAUCCGUGAACCGCAUUGGUGAUGAGCAACCCUAGACUUUCAACAUCAUGUUAUUGCUAAGGGUUGUAGCGAUGUCCUAUGUUCAGUUUCCUUGAGUUGAUAGCCGUCUCCCCGCGUGCUCGAGCCUUUUAGCUAUAAGAUAGGUUUAAUCAACAUUAAAUGUGUAUUUGUGAAUUUUUAACCUUAUUUCGGUUGAUGUUUCUUUAUAAAUGUGUAAAUGGCUGAGAUCUGUAGCGACGUAGUGACAUGGAGUGAUAGCGAGUGACUGGUUCCCCCUUUUACAAUUGGAUAAUAGAUAAUAAAUAAAUAAAAGUUUGAAA